rnacentral:rRNA from 2 species
AACAGACGAGGAGCUUGCUCCUUUGACGUUAGCGGCGGACGGGUGAGUAACACGUGGGUAACCUACCUAUAAGACUGGGAUAACUUCGGGAAACCGGAGCUAAUACCGGAUAAUAUUUCGAACCGCAUGGUUCGAUAGUGAAAGAUGGCUCUGCUAUCACUUAUAGAUGGACCUGCGCCGUAUUAGCUAGUUGGUAAGGUAACGGCUUACCAAGGCAACGAUACGUAGCCGACCUGAGAGGGUGAUCGGCCACACUGGAACUGAGACACGGUCCAGACUCCUACGGGAGGCAGCAGUAGGGAAUCUUCCGCAAUGGGCGAAAGCCUGACGGAGCAACGCCGCGUGAGUGAUGAAGGUCUUCGGAUCGUAAAACUCUGUUAUUAGGGAAGAACAAACGUGUAAGUAACUGUGCACGUCUUGACGGUACCUAAUCAGAAAGCCACGGCUAACUACGUGCCAGCAGCCGCGGUAAUACGUAGGUGGCAAGCGUUAUCCGGAAUUAUUGGGCGUAAAGCGCGCGUAGGCGGUUUUUUAAGUCUGAUGUGAAAGCCCACGGCUCAACCGUGGAGGGUCAUUGGAAACUGGAAAACUUGAGUGCAGAAGAGGAAAGUGGAAUUCCAUGUGUAGCGGUGAAAUGCGCAGAGAUAUGG